CUGUAGUGUUACUGACGCUAAAGCUCGAAAGUGCGGGUAUCGAACAGGAUUAGAUACCCUGGUAGUCCGCACGGUAAACGAUGGAUGCCCGCUGUUUGCCCUUCGGGGUGAGUGGCUAAGCGAAAGCGUUAAGCAUCCCACCUGGGGAGUACGCCGGCAACGGUGAAACUCAAAGGAAUUGACGGGGGCCCGCACAAGCGGAGGAACAUGUGGUUUAAUUCGAUGAUACGCGAGGAACCUUACCCGGGCUUGAAUUGCAGAUGACGGAUCUAGAGAUAGUGACUUCCUUCGGGACAUCUGUGAAGGUGCUGCAUGGUUGUCGUCAGCUCGUGCCGUGAGGUGUCGGCUUAAGUGCCAUAACGAGCGCAACCCUUCUCUUCAGUUGCCAUCAGGUAGAGCUGGGCACUCUGGAGACACUGCCACCGUAAGGUGUGAGGAAGGUGGGGAUGACGUCAAAUCAGCACGGCCCUUACGUCCGGGGCUACACACGUGUUACAAUGGCCGGUACAGAAAGUCGGAUGCCCGUAAGGUCAUUCUAAUCAAGAAAGCCGGUCCCAGUUCGGACUGAGGUCUGCAACCCGACCUCACGAAGCUGGAUUCG
rnacentral:rRNA from 1 species